rnacentral:rRNA from 1 species
UUUAACGAGGACCUAUGAGAGGGCAAGUCUGGUGCCAGCAGCCGCGGUAAUUCCAGCUCUCAAGGUGUAUAUCGCCAUUGCUGCGGUUAAAAAGCUCGUAGUUGGAUCUGCGCCUUCGGACUCGGUCCUCCCAACGGGUGCGAACUGAGCUCCAAGGCUACUACUGCUGGUUUUCCCUUGGUGCUCUUCACUGGGUGUCUUGGGUGGCUAGCGAGUUUACUUUGAAAAAAUUAGAGUGCUCAAAACAGGCUAUUGCCUGAAUACCGGUGCAUGGAAUAAUAGAAUAGGAUCUCGGUCCUAUUUUGUUGGUUUUCGGAACUGAGAUAAUGGUUAAGAGGGACAGACGGGGGCAUUCGUAUCGCUGCGUGAGAGGUGAAAUUCUUGGACCGCAGCGAGACGCCCAACUGCGAAAGCAUUUGCCAAGAAUGUCUUCGUUAAUCAAGAACGAAAGUCAGAGGUUCGAAGGCGAUCAGAUACCGCCCUAGUUCUGACCGUAAACGAUGCCAACUAGCGAUCCGCCGGUGGUAAUUACGCCCCGGCGGGGAGCUUCCCGGAAACGAAAGUCUUCCGGUUCCGGGGGAAGUAUGGUUGCAAAGCUGAAACUUAAAGGAAUUGACGGAAGGGCACCACCAGGAGUGGAGCUUGCGGCUUAAUUUGACACAACACGGGAAAACUCACCCGGCCCGGACACCGUAAGGAUUGACAGAUUGAGAGCUCUUUCUUGAUUCGGUGGUUGGUGGUGCAUGGCCGUUCUUAGUUGGUGGAGCGAUUUGUCUGGUUUAUUCCGAUAACGAACGAGACUCUGGCCUACUAACUAGUGACAGAAUUAUUGCUGUUCUGGUUACUUCUUAGAGGGACAAGUGGUGUUCAGCCACACGAAAUUGAGCAAUAACAGGCCUGUGAUGCCCUUAGAUGUCCGGGGCUGCACGCGUGCUACACUGGAGGAAACAGCAUGCAAAACCAUUGCCGAGAGGCAUUGGUAAACCCGAGAAAAUCUUCCGUGAUCGGGAUCGGGAAUUGCAAUUAUUUCCCUUGAACGAGGAAUUCCCAGUAAGUGUGGGUCAUCAGCUCGCGCUGAUUACGUCCCUGCCCUUUGUACACACCGCCCGUCGCUGCCCGGGACUGAGCCGUUUCGAGAAAAGCGGGGACUGCUGCUGUUGGGGCUUUCGGGCCUUGGCUUCGGUGGAAACCGCUU